CCUACGGGAGGCAGCAGUGAGGAAUAUUGGUCAAUGGACGAGAGUCUGAACCAGCCAAGUAGCGUGAAGGAUGACUGCUCUAUGGGUUGUAAACUUCUUUUAUAAAGGAAUAAAACGAGGCACGUGUGCCUUAUUGCAUGUACUUUAUGAAUAAGGAGCGGCUAACUCCGUGCCAGCAGCCGCGGUAAUAAGGAGGAUUCGAGCGUUAUCCGGAUUUAUUGGGUGUAAAGGGAGCGUAGAUGGGUUGUUAAGUCAGUUGUGAAAGUUUGCGGCUCAACCGUAAAAUUGCAAUUGAUACUGGCAGUCUUGAGUACAGUUGAGGUAGGCGGAAUUCGUGGUGUAGCGGUGAAAUGCUUAGAUAUCACGAGGAACCCCGAUUGCGAAGGCAGCUUACUAAACUGUAACUGACAUUGAUGCUCGAAAGUGUGGGUAUCAAACAGGAUUAGAUACCCGUGUAGUC
rnacentral:rRNA from 1 species